CGUGUCCCAUAUUGCAGGUACCGCACGAAUAAGGACCGGCUAAUUCCGUGCCAGCAGCCGCGGUAAUACGGAAGGUCCGGGCGUUAUCCGGAUUUAUUGGGUUUAAAGGGAGCGCAGGCCGUCCUUUAAGCGUGCUGUGAAAUGCCGCGGCUCAACCGUGGCACUGCAGCGCGAACUGGAGGACUUGAGUACGCACGAGGUAGGCGGAAUUCGUGGUGUAGCGGUGAAAUGCUUAGAUAUCACGAAGAACUCCGAUUGCGAAGGCAGCUUACCGGAGCGCAACUGACGCUGAGGCUCGAAAGCGCGGGUAUCGAACAGGAUUAGAUACCCUGGUAGUCCGCGCGGUAAACGAUGGAUGCCCGCCGUUGGGUUUUAGAAUUCAGCGGCCAAGCGAAAGCGUUAAGCAUCCCACCUGGGGAGUACGCCGGCAACGGUGAAACUCAAAGGAAUUGACGGGGGCCCGCACAAGCGGAGGGACAUGUGGUUUAAUUCGAUGAUACGCGAGGAACCUUACCCGGGCUUGAAUUGCAGGAGAACGAUCCAGAGAUGGUGAGGCCCUUCGGGGCUCCUGUGAAGGUGCUGCAUGGUUGUCGUCAGCUCGUGCCGUGAGGUGUCGGCUCAAGUGCCAUAACGAGCGCAACCCUUGUCCAUAGUUGCCAUCAGGUCGUGCUGGGCACUCUGUGGAGACUGCCGCCGUAAGGUGUGAGGAAGGUGGGGAUGACGUCAAAUCAGCACGGCCCUUACGUCCGGGGCUACACACGUGUUACAAUGGGGCAUACAGCGAGUUGGAUGUGCGCAAGUACGUCCGGAUCAAGAAAGUGCCUCUCAGUUCGGACUGGGGUCUGCAACCCGACCCCACGAAGCUGGAUUCGCUAGUAAUCGCGCAUCAGCCAUGGCGCGGUGAAUACGUUCCCGGGCCUUGUACA
rnacentral:rRNA from 1 species